CUUAAGUGAGAUCCUCUGCUCACCUGCAUCCACAGAGGUACAACUGUGAAGUUUCCACACAUUUUCUAUGUAAAAUGGCUGCCACUGCAUUUUAUAAUAACCUCCAUGUACAUUUUCAUGGGAUGUUGCCAGGUGAGCAUAUACUGCUUUAUCAGUGCUUCUAGGACUAUCUCAUAAAUAGCGCAGGUAUUCUUAUAAAUAGCAUGGGUAUUCUUAUGACAGAGUUAUGCUAGUAAGUUUGAUUAGCAUAAAGCAAAAAUUAAUUCCAUGACUCAUAUGUAAAGGUAACACACUCUGUUUCCCAUUGCCACCAAUUUCCUAAUCUUGUGAAGGUCUGUACCUUUUGAUGGCUGAAUGAAUUUGUGGAGAGCUUCUAUUUGGGCUCUCUGGAUGCUGUGUUAAGUUGGGUGUCAUCAGUACUUUGCUGUUCAAAGUGUGAUCCAAGGACCAGCAGCAUUGACAUCACCUGGGAGCUUAUUAAAAAUGCAGAACCUCAGGCCUAAUGCCAGACCUACUAAAUCAGAGUGCGUUUUAACACGAUCUCCUGGUGAUUUGUAAGCACAUUCAAGUUUGAGAAGCACCAGUCGUGCCUUUAUGUCUCAACUUCAUGCCUUCCUAAAUCUCCAUUUUUACGGACCCUCUACUUCCUACUUUUCUGAAAUCUCCAGGCCAUCAGCUAGCCAAUUCAGUUGGAUGCUUUUUAAAUUCUAAACUGUGUAACUUUGUGUGCCCGAAGCUGUCCCUCUCUUAUUUUGUCAGAGAAGGGGGAAUUUUUUCUUUUGCAUUCCUCAUAUUUGUCACCUCUGUCCCCUUGAUGAUUUUUGGUUUUGGACACAAAGCAUCACUUCUAGCUUUCAGGGGACAUAUUUUCUCUCUGAUCCACUUGAAGACUUUCUCAUGGCAUCUCUCUCAACAACAUUAAAGUAUUGUCAUCUUGUUUACUGUUGAAUUCUAUCAGAAAGGAUGAAGAAACAAAGUGAGAGAAGUCUGCUGAAAUAUACUUACGACAAUAUUCUAAAUGUCAUUUGUUGAGUGAUCCAUAAACUUUCAUGGUACAAGGAAUGGGAUUGUAUAAAAGUGACCCCGAGAGCUCACUCUUAGUUACCUGAAACAGUGAGCCAUCUGGAACCAGGAAUUAGCUUUUGACCAGUGGGAGAAGCCACACUUGAACUCAGCUUCCUGUAAGACUGAUGGCAUUAUUUUACCCUCUUCCAGGAACUACAAUUUUCUAAAAAAUUUCCUUUUUUAGUUGAGAUAUAAUUGAUAUACAACAUUAUAUUAGUAGAAUUACAACUUUCUAUGGUCUCCGCUGUCCUGAGGUGCUGGGCAGCUGGUUUUCACAGUUACUUCCUCUAAAUAGGUUGCAUGCAAUCCAGACUGCCUUAUGUUUAAGUUAUCUGCCUAUCUCUACUGAUAAGGUUGCUCUCAUGCUUGCCCUAUAAGAAAGGAGAGCAACAGUGGGGUGGGAUCUCUUCCCUGGAAUACUGUACUGAGUGUCCAUCAGAUGGCUCAGGCCCCUACGUACUCCCCCAUGGGAAAAAUGGGAGAAACAAAUGACCUGUGACUUUUGUUGUUACUGAUUCCUUGAGUUUUCUCAUUAAACCCUAGUUUUUAACCCUUACAACAUGAUAUUAUAAAAUUCAUCCUGAGCUCUGGUAAAGCUUCAUGUGGCCACCACAAAAGGACCCAUUUUGCACAACACAUUUAUUGAUGAUAAUCGAAGAGUUGUUCUGCAUACCCAAAUUUUGGACAGUUCGUACCUCAGUUUGUAUAUCUGUAACAUGGAUUGAAGUCACUGGCUAUAUUUGUGUUUUGCUUUGGAUAAAAUGUCCUCCUAUCUGUGUUAACUCAUGCAUUUUCUUCCAAUCCAUCUGUCUCCCUUCACAGCUCUCUCUCCUUGUCCAGCUAAGAUUCCAUGAUGUAUUGUUCAAUAAUAAUGUUGCUGGUACCCUAAACUCCCUUCACCUUCUGUCUUCUUUGAGGCAUCUGCCAAGGACUGCAACCAGCUAUGACAGCCACAGAUGUCUUCAGACAUUGCCAAAUGACCCUUAUAGGGCAAAAUUGCCUCUGGUUGAGAAUCAUUGCUCUAUCCUCAUGGCUCCUGUUAAGGUUACCAAUGACUUUCACAAUGCUAAGUCUCAUUUCUUAUCAUACCUGAUAUCUCAGUGGCAUCUGACAUUGUUAACCUCUCCCUUCCUGAAACAUUUUUCUCUUACCUCCAAUGACUUAACAUUCUUUUGAUUCUACCUUUACCUCUUGGCUUCUCCCUUCCUUCCUUCUUUUUUUUCUUCCUUCCUUCCUUGUUUCUUCCUCCCUCCCUCCCCGUCUCUCUCUCUCUCUCUUUUUUAUUUUCUUUCUAAAAAUAUCCUUUGCAGGUUCAUCUUCUGCCAAUUGACAAUUAAAUAUUGGUAUUCUGUUCUUACUCUGUUCUUUUUCUGGGGAAUCUCAUCCACACCAGGGCUUUAAUUUCCAUCUUUAUACUUCUGCUUCCAGCUAUGAUGAACUGGCUUCAGGAUGGUGAACAGCCAACCCUUUCAACAGUAACAUAAAAGCACUAAAUACAAUAAUUUGUCUAUUGCUUGUGAAUCUUUAUCUCUAUGUGAUAACUGUGAUAGCAGUUAGAGUAAAAAUAUCUGCUUCUAGCUCUACCUUUUGAAGUGGAAAAUUAGUUCUUAAUCAAAAUAAUAUGGAUAAAGAUGAAAAUGACAUUCCUUAAAUUGGCCUGGAAGGGCCUAAAUUAUCUGCCUCCACCUCUCACACCUCUCCACCCUCCCCAACCUCAUCCUGCAUCAUCAUCCC
rnacentral:lncRNA from 1 species